CCAAAGCAACAUUCCCCCCCAUGAACAACUCAGGGACCCCCUCGAUCCACAGCGUGAGGCCCACCAGCAGAGGAAGAGGAGUUUCCAGUCCUGACUCCCACCAGGUGCAGGGGAGCCGAGGUGCCAAGAGGGAAAUCAAACAGCUUUUCCUGCCUGGGAAACAGUAACAACCACUUCAGAGUGAUCACCACCCGGCCACGCACAGCCUGGGGGAGCCCAUGUCCUAUUAGGGUAUCUGCUUUGCCUCCAAUUAUCUGGCAAAUAAACCAAUUUAGGAGUCCACCAGGGUCUUUCUGGCCACCUCUCCAGGUCCCUGGCUGGGCCGGUCCCAUCUUCAUUUCCAUACAGCCAGCAUCCUCAGUGAGACGGAGAAAUGUCAUUAUUUACCAAGAAACCAAGGUCUGAAAAUGGCAAUUACUCAGCGGGUCAGCAGAAAGCCCCAGAAUACUUCUAUCUGCAGGAUUCAGCCAGCAGCUCGGAGCUGGAAGACGCAGCCAGUGCCUACCCCACAGGCUCCCAACCCCUGUGAACUCACAUCCCAUUGGUUUACAAAAACAAGUAUGUAUCCCCCCCACAAAAACAUAUUCAUGCCUCAAAAUGUAAGUCUAUCGCAUACUUUAUAAAACACAAACUGAAAAGUGGCAUGUAAAAUGCAGAUAUAAACAU
rnacentral:lncRNA from 1 species